UUUGCAGUCCAGACUUAUAGCAGCAGGACUCUGCAGUGUUGCUCAUCACUUCUUUCUACUUCCAAGUGCCUCUGCAAUUUGUAGUCCACAGUGGCAGCCAGAAUUUCUCCCCGGCCUCGUCUAUGUAGCGACAGGCUUCAGUACCUGCAAACUGCUAGACUGCUCUGUCUGACUCAGGUAUGAUUCAACAGACCCAAAAGGAUGGCCUGAGCAGUGAUUUAGUGAAGACCUAUGAUAAGGAUUGUGGUUAUAAUAAAGAAGAAGAAAAAGUUAUGGGUAUGCUUGUGGACCAAAAUAAUGCAGCUAAAGGAACUAGCAUCAAAAAAAGUACCACAGAAAAUUGGUGGGAUAAACUGGCCCAUUGGAACUUCAACCAAAGACUUAUUCACAUUAUAACUCAUCCCCUUAUCAUUGUAUUAUUGAUUCAAAUUAUUGUUAUGUAUAUGUACUUUGGUUAUAUCUGUCUAUGAAACAAUAAAAGCAAAAAAUGA